GAAAUUAUGACUGGGGUUGUAGCUGGGCUAUAAAACGGCAUGUGCACGCUCCUUUCACAAUCCACACACACCUGUGCACCUUCGCGGGGGUCUUUUUUUCUCUUCGGGGGAAUAAAGGCUCGCGUCCCUUUACACACCCUUUGUAUGUCUUAAGAAUGUCUACUCGAUGUAAUAAAACGCAUCUAAUACAACUUUCAACAACGGAUCUCUUGGCUCUCGCAUCGAUGAAGAACGCAGCGAAAUGCGAUAAGUAAUGUGAGUUGCAGAAUUCAGUGCAUCAUCCGAUCUUUGAACGCACCUUGCGCCCUUUGGUAUUCCGAAGGGCACACCUGUUUGAGUGUCGUGAAAUUCUCAACCCUCCUCGCUUUUUCGGCGAGCGUAGGGAUUGGACUUGGAGGCUUUGCCGGGCUCUCAUCGCUCGGCUCCUCUCAAAUGCAUUAGUGCGUCUUGUUGCGACGUGCGCCUCGGUGUGAUAAUUAUCUACGCUGUGGUGCGCUUGCUUCUUGUGGAGACACGCUUUCGAACCGUCCGAAAGGACAGCUUUCAUCGAACUUUGACCUCAAAUCAGGUGGGACUACCCGCUGAACUUAAGCAUAUCAAUAAGCGGAGGAAAAGAAACUAACAAGGAUUCCCCUAGUAACUGCGAGUGAAGCGGGAAAAGCUCAAAUUUAAAAUCUGGCGGUCUUCUGGCCGUCCGAGUUGUAGUCUGAGA
rnacentral:rRNA from 1 species